AAAAUCCGCCGCUUUGAGAGCGGCCCCGUGCCUGCUGUGGAAGUAGCAGCGCCUCUUGCGCUCAGCUGGAGCUGCUGGGAUUAAUUAGCACCAAUUAGCUGAUGGAAGCAACCCAUGAACCGGGACAGCUGAUAAAGGUAGGGCAAGAGGGAAGGGUGCAUGGCUGGGGGGCCAUGAGCUGGGGCUGCAGCCCCAUGGGCACCCAUUUUGGGGUCUCUGCGUGAUUCCCAGCAGGAAUGGCAUCGAUGGAGCCCUUGCUGGAAGGGAGCCUGGAUCACCCACGCACAGCACGUCCCAUGGGUGAUGCUCAGAGAGGAGCUGGCGCAGAAGCCUGCGGUGCCACGAAGUCCUCGAACCCCUCUGAGGGGCUCCGCCCUGGUGUUAUCUGCAGUCACUGCUGCUGCUGAGCGGCAGAAAGGAGAUGCUGCCUGGCUGGAUGCGAGCAAUUAAGCGAGAAUUGGGAAGGUUGGAGCCUGCCUGGCUGGGCCGCACGGCGGUGGGCACAGUGGUGCAAGGAGCACGGCCCCAGUGCCCGUGGCCGAGCCGUUCACACUCCAUCCCCAGCAACAAUGCAUCACCUUGCUCAAGAGAAGCUCCGGAGAGAAAUAUUGCUGAGGCCCAUCCCGAAUCGUAAGUCUGCAGGACUCCACCAGCCCGUUACUCAAUAUUUGGCAGCCUGAGCUGGGCUCAGCUCCGGGGUAGACUCCAAGGCUGACCCGGUUACCCCAGGGACCAGUUUGGCUCUUCGUUUGAUGAAACCCUUGGAAAGACACAAACUCCUGUGCAUGGGUCUGUGCUCGCGGAUGUCUGAGGCUAACGGGGAGGCAGCAUGUAAUUCACUGUGCCCCCAGAGGCCCUGGUCAUGAGAUGAUUCACGAAUGGCACGGGCGAGUCGCUCGCUGCCAGCCCCCAAGGCUCUGCUGCGGUGACACCGGCCAGGUCCUCGUCCCUGUGCCAGGUGUGCCGAGCUCCUGGCUGCGGGGAAGCAAGUCCUCGACUUCCCAGGUCCGUGCUGGGUCUCAGCAGCACCAAUCCCCCUUAAAUGAGGAAAGUCUGCUCCUCCAUCAGUGAUUCUUAAGGAGAAAUCCUCGGUGUUGGGUCCUUGCCCUGCUGGAAAUGAAGUGCAGCGCCCAGCGAUGCUCCCACCACCAGCCUGGUGGGGUGGCCAAAACCAGCGCGUUGUUCGCACUGGCUAAAAUUGCAUUGAAAUAAAUACAGUGUAGAGACUACAUGCAGCCUGUGCAUGGCAAAUUAUCCCGGAUUAUCCCCAGAGUUAGUGCAGCUGUGAGUGAUAUGGAGGUUAAUGUUUGGGUUUCAUACCAGAUAAUUUAUAGCGAAGUCCGGGGACGGGCUUUUAUCUGCUUUGAUGAAAGUUCAUCUGGAAUAACAAUACUUGGUAGAACCUAGUGCUUGGAUCGCGCUGCAAACCCAUGCCCUUGUGCCUGAAAGCAAGAUGUUUCCAUUUAAAAACACUGUUAGCAAGAACAAACAUCUCCCUAUUGCUGCUCUCGCUGCUCUUCUCCGCUGCAGUCAUCUGGUUUGGAUUAGGACUGGAUAAGGUCCCGCUCUGCUCAAGGAAACGAGGAGGGGGACUUGGAGCCUGUUCUGCUCAUUCGCAAAUGUGAGCUGAACGUGGCGCCCAAACGCAGACAAAAUGAGCUUCGACAGGCGAGGGGAAUCAAGAGACGUCGCAGCUCCUCCCGGUGGAAAGACCCCUUCCAGCAGCACUGGAGGUGGAUAGUGGGAGCUCGUCCACCUCGGAGCAGCCCCAGAUGACAGAAAACCGCCAGGACCGGUAGAAAUGAUCCUUGGCAAGGGGAUGCUGCAGGCGAGGUGCAGGUUUGGGGGUUCCCUGCUCUACCCUGGGAGGCUCCCGACCAGCACCCCUGGCUCCCAUCACCAUCCUGGCCCCAUAAGGCUCAUGGCAAGCUGCUGUUCCCUACGGGCAGGGUCCAGGAGCAGCCCCACAGCCCCCCCCCCUCACCCCACCUCUUUGGCUGCUGGGGGCAGAGCCUCGGGGAAACGCUGCUCCCAAGAGAAGCCAAGGGAGAGGGAGCCUCCGAAAAAGCUCCGGCAGCUUCUUGUGGCUUGUUGUUUACAUAGCGCCUGCUCCGAGCCGGCUCUUGCCAUAGCUGCUAAUUUGAUAGCAUGUGAUGAAUGGGAAAGGCUGUGCAGGAAACAGGGGAAACCGCCACCGCGUCACGGAAUGGAGCACAACGAGAGAGGGUGAAAAGAAAUGCGUGGAUUUGGGGGAGAUGGAGGGCUAAUAAAUCUGUAUUUAUACAUAUAUCCCCAUUAUGGGUGCUCAGCUUGGCCCAUAUGCGUAGGUCGGCGGUCGUAGCAGUGCCGCUGCGCGUCAUACAUGUAAAGCAAGAGCCUGCAGAGCAGUGCCACCUCCUGCACCUGAGCAGCAGCACGGGAAGGGAAGGACGGUCACUUGCUGCAAGUGAAGAGCUGAAGUCCUCGAUCCCCAGGGGAGCAAUUCAAACACGUGCAGCGCUCCUGAAACACGGCAGAAAUAGCGACCUGCUUGGAGUCUGUGUCCUGCCUCGGGUCGCUGGCCUGGACGUGGGGUCUGAAAUGGCCCCAGCUCUCUGCAGAACAGCCACGGCGUGCGUUACCUGCAGGGCAGCCGUUGUGCUUUUAGUUUUCCACUCUACCCGAAGCCAAUUGCGGGUGUUUGGGUGUUGUUUGCAGCAGGCAAAGUGCUCUGAGCUCAGCUUCAUCAGGUGCCAAUUAGCAAAGAAAACUUGUCCUGUUGGCAGUGACUUUUGACAAAUAUCUCGGGGAGAGAGAUUUCUCCAGCAAGACAAGCUGGUCUUCAGCUUUGAACCUGUUUUCACCCUGUCCCCGUGGUCACAAGAUGUCCCCACCCGCAUUCCCCCUGUUCAGGCAGAGCCCGCUGGUUUGCAGCAGCACCCAUGGGUGGCCCUGGUGGUGGCUUGUCACGGUCUCCAGGUGCCACAUGGAGCAUCCCUCUGCUCUCAGGCGUUCCUUUCCCUGUAUCUCAGAACAGGCCCUGGCUGCUGUGAUCUGUGGGCUCUGGGCUAAGCGGGGUGAAACCCCCCUGAGGUCGGCGUGUUUUCCACGGUUUUCAGGAGGAGGCUGGGCUCUUCCUGCUGAACCGGGGCUUUGUGGCUGGCGGCACACAAGACCUCACAAUUAUUUCCCAAAAGGAGCCCUCUGACAGUGCUCGCUCUCUUUUGAUGUGCUGGGCGGUUGUGGGUUUUUGCGGCUCCGUGUCCCAACAAGGAAACACGCUGUGUUCCCGGUGACCUCCCCGACACACCGCCAGGGAUGGAUUUACGGCUCCUCCCGUGCACAAUUGCUAUUGAUGUCGGCAGCUCUGGUCACAGACAAAGGACCGGGCAGCAUCCCCCUGCGCCACCCGCCCUCGCUGUGUUUUGGGGAGGUUUGCUGCCCUUCGGCAAGGAGAGGGCUGCUGGGCGUUUGGUGGGAAGAGCUUUUCUGGUUCGGAAAACCCAACGCGUGCAAUGCUGAGAGCUGGAAUCAGAUCUCACGUCUGGGUGCGGGUCAAUGGGUGCUGGAUCCCAAGCCUGGGUCAGACGCUGCUGCCCAUGGAGGUGUGAAAGCAGAGCCCCCUCCUCCUUUCUGCCUGAGGUGCAGCAAUGCCCUUCCUGCUCCUGUGCUCUCCUGCUGGAGAUGCUCCGGCCAGCAGCCGGGAUGGAUGAGCUCCCCGGGAGCACAGACAAAAGAGUAAAUGAAUACCGAGUGGGAAAACCCAAGGCAUUUAAAAAGAUCAUUUGGAAACAGCUUUUCCCCGGUCUGCCCGAGGCGGGCAGCCCUCCUCGCACUGGUGGCUGUGCUUGGUGGUACCCCCAGCGUUUCCCUUGCAUUUCUCCUCUUCUUCUAGUGCCCAUGGCUGAAGCACAGGAGAACAGGGGGAAAAUAUCAGGUUAAAACCAUGCUCCGGGCUCCAGCCUCAGCCUCUCAGCUCUUACAGGGGCUGUGCCCUGCCCAGCAGCAUUUGGGUGACGUGGGACCCACGGGCUGUGGAUGCAUCCCGAAAGGUUCCCGGGGUCUUAAUAUUGUCUGGGAAGAACACGCAGAAGUGACAGGCAGGUGCAAGGCAAAGUCUCCCAGCGGGACGCAGGCUGAGUCCCCGUGAGCAAAUUUUCUGCCCCUCAUCAUUCUGCGUCCCCCUGGCUGAGCUGUGACGGCUCAGACAGUCGCAUGCCUGACGGUGAUUUAUAUUAAGCAGAGGCCAGAUUCAAGGCUGCUCUGAGCCGCAUCUCCUGCUGGGGAGAGGCACGGGUUGGAUUUGGAGACAUGGAGGAUCCAGUGGCAGAUCGGAAAGUGGCAGGACUCGGGAGCUCUCCCUGCAGGGAGGAGGAUGUGGAAAUAGGACUCCAUUUUAAGCAGAGAGCCCUGGCAGGAGUCCUGGGCUGUGGGAAGCCAGCCCGGGCAAUUUAAGAAGGGUUUUCCAUAGCUCGUGUCUGUUGUUUGGUGAGCGCGUUUGGCACUCGCAUCCAACGCGCAUUUUAAAGGGAAACACGAAACGCCUGGCCCACUUGCUCUUUUUCCCCUCACAGCACGAGCAGCCCCAAACUCCCCGGGCUCGGGGGCAGCAGGGAGUGGUGGCACCGCUGACAAUUGUCCACCACGUCCCUGUCAGCCCCUGGGGGGGGCGAAACGGCCAGGCCCACUCCAUCGCUCCUGCUGGUGCCCACGGGCUGCCCACCAAGGAUCCCUGGGGCCGUCACAGGGCCACAUCCAGCACUCAGGAACCACCCCACUGAAGCCCCUCGUCCCCCCAGCUCCCCCAACCUCUGCAGCGUCCCCACGCCUCCCCAUGACGUGCAGUGGGAUGGAGACGGGGAUGGCACCUCCCGGUGAAGGGUUGCUCAGGGCUGAGGUCCCGGCACUGCCCGGCCCUGCCUGGGAAUCCGGCUGCCCCAGCCCCUUGGGUGCUGAGCACAAGCCCCAAACCUGGCCCUUUUCCCAGCGGCUUUCGCGUGCCGCCCCCUCGGUGGGGCAGAGCAGCCCUUGGGGCUGAUGCAGCGCCUCGGGUGCUGCGCCUACACGCGCUGCGGCACCUCCGGUCCCAGGGGGCUGCUCCGGGGUGCGCAGCACCGUGCUUACGGGGCCGAUCGUGGGGCUCAGCAGCGUUUCGGGGGGACCGAGCCCAAGGCACGGCAGCGCACGAGGCCCGAGCCCGGGCUCCGCAGCAUCGGCGGCCGCGUUUGCCCUCUAGCGCCCGCAGCCGCCCUGCGCAGCGCCGCACCCGGACCGCCCGGGGGGGGCUCGCUGGGCGUGUGCUCCAGCCACCACAGCGCCCACCGAGGCUACGAAAGGGGUGGGUAUUUUUAAGGAAACUCUAUGGUUCUAGGAUAAAAUGCAUCGCUCUUCCCCCGCCGGCAGGUAUUUUA